ACCCCAGGAGAGUUCUGUACAGAGUCUGGUGAGGUUUUAAAGUUGAGUCAGUGCAGAGUAAAGCUUGUUUUCGACUUGUCUAUGUGUGUUUUUAAUAUGCUUAAGUGCUUAUACUUGUUUAUGUGCUUGUUUGCUAUGAGUUUGAGUCGAGUUGAGAGUUAAGUCGAAAAUUGGACGUGUGAAUCCUUAGAAGCCAAGUAUACCUAGGGAUUGAGUUUUAACGGGUAAAUAGACGUUGAGUGAGAAGUUAGAGUAAAGAAGAGAUUGGAUUUAGAAUUUGAGUUUCUGACUAAGGUUUGUUUUAUCACAUGAACCUUCGAUGACGAUGACGAUGUGAUGAUGACAUAUGAAGGCCCGAGCGAGACGAAGAAGUAAGUUGCCUGAUUUCUUUCCAGAAUAAGCGAAGGACUUCAGGCUAAGCUGGGAGUGAGAUUGGACUGGUGCUGAUGGGGGAGAGUUUCAAAUGAUGUAAAUUAAAUUACUAUUUUGCCUCUAUGAUAAUAGAGUCUUGAUGUUUGAAUUACUUAGUUUCUUUUGAGAUCAAGCAAUACACUCACGGUUAUGUGUCUUCAUACAUAUAAUCGGUUCGCCUUUUGCUGCGAUACUCUGCAAAUUAUGCUUCCUUAUGAAAAAUGAACUAUACGCGUUUUGUUUUUGUUCGUGAAAUUCCUAAUAAUUAAAAAGUUAUGACAAUGUUGACGAUUUUA